UAUCAUGUGCCUUUCAAAUUAACUUCUAAUUUUUUUUUGUGAAGGAUCUCUUUUUGUUUAUGGAUCAGUUGCUGGAAGAAUUAGAAGUCAAUGAUGCAGUUUCAACUUACAUAUCUGUCUUUUUGGAGGUCAAGUAACUAUGGAUCUGUGUAUUUGGAGGUCAAGUGACUAGAACAUGGAAGACUAACCGUGGGGCGGAAUUUCUCCUUGUCAGCAGCAAGACUGCAAGGAAGACUCGUUUUUGGUGUUCAUGCUGUUCAUGCCUGUCAGAUCAUAUACACUGAAGUAGACUGGAGCUAAUCUAUUUUGUUGCUUAUGUUGCUUCAUUGGCUGGACUGCUUGCAUUUCUUAUUUUGGUUAUGGUUAGAGACGCUGAACUAGGUGUAUUAUAU